rnacentral:rRNA from 1 species
GGUUUCUGACUGCUUAUUGCACCACAUGUGUUUUUCUUUGAAACAAACUUGCUUUGGCGGUGGGCCCAGCCUGCCGCCAGAGGUCUAAACUUGCAACCAAUUUUUUAUCAACUUGUCACACCAGAUUAUUACUAAUAGUCAAAACUUUCAACAACGGAUCUCUUGGUUCUCGCAUCGAUGAAGAACGCAGCGAAAUGCGAUACGUAAUAUGAAUUGCAGAUAUUCGUGAAUCAUCGAAUUUUUGAACGCACAUUGCGCCCUCUGGUAUUCCGGAGGGCAUGCCUGUUUGAGCGUCGUUUCUCCCUCAAACCGCUGGGUUUGGUGUUGAGCAAUACGACUUGGGUUUGCUUGAAAGACGGUAGUGGUAAGGCGGGAUCGCUUUGACAAUGGCUUAGGUCUAACCAAAAACAUUGCUUGCGGCGGUAACGUCUACCACGUAUAUCUUCAAACUUUGACCUCAAAUCAGGUAGGACUACCCGCUGAACUUAAGCAUAUCAAUAAGCGGGAGGAA